rnacentral:rRNA from 1 species
UCGAGAAUCUUUCGCAAUGGGCGAAAGCCUGACGAAGCGACGCUGCGUGAGCGAUGAAGGCCUUCGGGUUGUAAAGCUCUUUCGCGUGGGAACAAGAAAAUGGCGUGAACAACGCUAUGAUUUGAGUGUACUACGAUAAGAAGCACCGGCUAACUCCGUGCCAGCAGCUGCGGUAAUACGGAGGGUGCAAGCAUUAAUCGGAAUUAUUGGGCGUAAAGGGCGCGUAGGCGGAUGUAUAAGUCAGAUGUGAAAUUCCGAGGCUCAACUUCGGAGCUGCAUUUGAAACUAUAGAUCUCGAGGAUUGGCGGAGAGAACGGAAUUCCACGUGUAGCGGUGAAAUGCGUAGAUAUGUGGAAGAACACCGGUGGCGAAAGCGGUUCUCUAGCUUAUACCUGACGCUGAGGCGCGAGAGCAAGGGGAGCAAACAGGAUUAGAUACCCCCGUAGUCC